CAACGGGCCGGGCCUUAAUCAUGCAAGUCGAGCGAACUGAUUAGAAGCUUGCUUCUAUGACGUUAGCGGCGGACGGGUGAGUAACACGUGGGCAACCUGCCUGUAAGACUGGGAUAACUUCGGGAAACCGAAGCUAAUACCGGAUAGGAUCUUCUCCUUCAUGGGAGAUGAUUGAAAGAUGGUUUCGGCUAUCACUUACAGAUGGGCCCGCGGUGCAUUAGCUAGUUGGUGAGGUAACGGCUCACCAAGGCAACGAUGCAUAGCCGACCUGAGAGGGUGAUCGGCCACACUGGGACUGAGACACGGCCCAGACUCCUACGGGAGGCAGCAGUAGGGAAUCUUCCGCAAUGGACGAAAGUCUGACGGAGCAACGCCGCGUGAGUGAUGAAGGCUUUCGGGUCGUAAAACUCUGUUGUUAGGGAAGAACAAGUACGAGAGUAACUGCUCGUACCUUGACGGUACCUAACCAGAAAGCCACGGCUAACUACGUGCCAGCAGCCGCGGUAAUACGUAGGUGGCAAGCGUUAUCCGGAAUUAUUGGGCGUAAAGCGCGCGCAGGCGGUUUCUUAAGUCUGAUGUGAAAGCCCACGGCUCAACCGUGGAGGGUCAUUGGAAACUGGGGAACUUGAGUGCAGAAGAGAAAAGCGGAAUUCCACGUGUAGCGGUGAAAUGCGUAGAGAUGUGGAGGAACACCAGUGGCGAAGGCGGCUUUUUGGUCUGUAACUGACGCUGAGGCGCGAAAGCGUGGGGAGCAAACAGGAUUAGAUACCCUGGUAGUCCACGCCGUAAACGAUGAGUGCUAAGUGUUAGAGGGUUUCCGCCCUUUAGUGCUGCAGCUAACGCAUUAAGCACUCCGCCUGGGGAGUACGGUCGCAAGACUGAAACUCAAAGGAAUUGACGGGGGCCCGCACAAGCGGUGGAGCAUGUGGUUUAAAUUCGAAGCAACGCGGAAGAACCUUACCAGGUCUUGAACAAUCCUCUGACACUCUAGAGAUAGAGGCGGUUCCCCUUUCGGGGACAAGAGUGACAGGGUGGUGCCAUGGAUGGUCGUCAAGCCUCGGUGUCGUGAGAAUGUUGGGGUAAGUCCCGCAAACGAGCGCAAUCCUUGGAAUCUAGGUUGGCUAGCCAAUUUUAGGUUUAGGACACCUCUAAGGCG
rnacentral:rRNA from 1 species